UACAGAGGUCUCAAGCGUUGUUCGGAUUCAUUGGGCGUAAAGGGUGCGUAGGCGGCGCGGUAAGUCGGGUGUGAAAUCUCGGAGCUUAACUCCGAAACUGCAUUCGAUACUGCCGUGCUUGAGGACUGGAGAGGAGACUGGAAUUUACGGUGUAGCGGUGAAAUGCGUAGAUAUCGUAAGGAAGACCAGUGGCGAAGGCGACUCUCUGGUCUGUAACUGACGCUGAGGCGCGAAAGCGUGGGGAGCAAACAGG
rnacentral:rRNA from 1 species